UUCUUGAUCAUUAUUUCCAGUGGCUGAAGAUGAAAUGUCUGAUACAGUCUCUCUGAUAAGUUUUGCUUACGGUUCUGUCAGAUCGCAAUCAGUGAGAGAAGAUGAGAUGUCUGAUACAGUAUCUCUGAUGAGUUCUGGUUUUGGUUCAUUCAGAUCUCGAUCAGGGGCAGACAACAGUUCAGUUUUUGCAUCAUCACACUCAAGAGAUCAACCUCUCCACUUUGGAGAUGGAUCAAGUUAUAACACAGUAUUACGACAGCCAUUUAUGAGAGGAGAUGAGAUGUCUGAUACAGUCUCUCUGGGAAGUUCUGGUUUUGGUUCGUUCAGAUCUCGAUCAGGUGGAGACAGCAGUUCAGUUUUUGCAUCAUCACACUCAAGAGAUCAACCUCUCCACUUUGCUGAUGGAUCUUCACACUCCACUUCUGAGUCUGAGGAACAUUCAGGAACCAAAAGAACAAAGAACCCAGCCAGGGUCUUAAGUUUUUUAAGAAGAGGCAAACAGAAUAAAUAAGGAGAAUACAGAAACUGCAAUAUUUGUUUCCCCCUAAAAUUAUUGAAAUAAAUUGUCCCUGACAUAACAUACAUUUUGUAAUAAAGAGUUAUCCAUCCAUUUAAAACCCCAUUCACACAGUACUUUGAAUCCCCCGUAAAGAGGUCCUUGAAACAUUUUUGGAAAGCAUUCUAUGUAAACAAGAUGCAGAAACAAUGCCACAAGGAGAGUGCUGUGGUAAGGACGCAGGUGUCAUCUCAACCAGAAGUUAUGAUUCAACUCUUUGACACAGGGCUUUAAAUGCGAUCAACAUUCACAAGAGAAAUGUUGGCAAACUGGACGCCGAAGCUGAGAUCAUUUACCAGCAUGACAGCGCAUCAUGCGCUCCUUAUGAUCUUGUCAUAAACUAAAAUCCAUGUGUGUGGUUUUUUUGAAAGAGAAAUCACACAUAAUUAGCAAACUUCAGACGCUGUGGAAAUAACGCGUCCCGUGUCUUUGAAGGAUCUUUACGGUAUGUGUGUAAAUGCACGCACAGAUUCUGGAAAAUCAGUGGCAGUGUGAAUAAACCAAAAAUCAAACAAUCCUGGACAAAUCCCGGAUGCAUUUCUGUGUAUUCUCUGUAAUAUCGGUGUGAAAAGGGCUUAAGAAAUUGAAAUGAAUUUACUACCAUCAUGUUUCAGUUUAACUGAUACAGGUAACUAACAUCAAUGAACCCAGUAGAGCAGGUAGCACAGAAUAAGUAUGUAACCGCUUAAACAGUGUGUGUCCUGGCAUUUAAAAACAGCUGGGUGAAGUGCAGAGCAACCAUAUUAAGCACAAGCUAGAAUGUUUAUUACCUUUAUAAUUUUUAUGGAGUCUUAAUAUGAUAUUGAUAUUUAAUUUCUGGUUGAAAUGUGGAGAUCAGAAACUGCUCAGCUGUGCACAAGGUGAAGGUCAUUUGCGAUUUAUAUAUUUUACAUCUAAAAGAAAGGGUAAAUGUGUUUUCAGUGGAAAUGUUCAUUCUAUGAAUCACACAUAGCAUUUUUGAAAAAUUAGGGUGAGGUCAAAUUUAGGAUGGUUUCUACGCAGCAUUUUAUAAAGUAGGCCCCAGGUAAUGAGAAUUGAUAAUGUGUUUGUAAACCACUGAUACAGUUUAACAUUAUUUAGUUUAACAUUAUUUUUGGACCAGUAACAUAACAUGUUAUGGCAAUGUAAUUAUCAACUACACUGUAAAAAAAUGCAACAAAAAAUUAAAACAACUUGGUUUUGCAAGUCACUUCAACCUAUUAUUUUAAGUUUUUACUUCACUGCAAUUUUAUAAUCUGAACCUUUUCUCAUCAUAAAGAGACCAGAAAGAUUCUUCAGAUGUUAAUAGUUCUUUUCUAUGGCAUCAUGAUGAAGCACCUUUAUAUUUAAGAGUGUACAGUAAUUAAAGUGAUUGUCUGUGGGUGUUGUGAAUGAGUCAUUUUGGUCAGUUUAUUAGCAUAAAGGUUAUUGAAUGAACUGAGAAUAAAAGGAGGAAAUAUUUACUCAAUUCAUGGUUAAAAAUAAUGCAGUUUUGAUCCUUUGUAGGUACAGAGCAUUGGUUUGUGUAGUUCUUGUACAUGCAGAUGAGAUCUUGAUUAAUGUCACUACAACAUAAAUCAAAUGACUGUGGUUUUGUUGUGCCUUUCCUACAUCAUAAAGAGAUGUUAUUUCUUAAAAUGUAUAAUUUUAAUAAAAAAUCCUGUAUAAUGUUACACAAAUAAACAGACCUAAUCUCACUUUGAUAGAAUUUGAUAGAAAUCAAGAUUUGAUUUUAAAAUACAUCCAUUUACCUAUCAUAAGAUGUUCAAAUUACUAGUAGCAAAAAUGUAAUGUUUAUUUACUUGUCCAUAUCUAUAACGCCACAUUUGCAAUAUUUGUCUUUGUUUAUUGAAUCAUUGCUUUGCUGUAAAUAUGAGCAAAUAAAGUGAUGAAGA